rnacentral:misc_RNA from 1 species
GUGGGAGGGGGCUUGCUCCCGAUAGCAGUGUGUCAGUCAGUACAUCUGUGACUGAAGCACCGCAAUCGGCAGCAAGCCCCCUCCCAC